rnacentral:sRNA from 1 species
UUAUUUUUAAGUACAAAUUCAAAAAGUUAAAAUUAAAUUCAACUCCAAUCUAUUUAUCACAAUUUUUCUUUGAUGAAAAUAGAAACAUAUUACAAAUAAUUACAUCUUUUAAUUAGAUAGUGUUUUCACACCUUGUGAUAAACAAAGCAAUAAAAGAAGGGCACACUUUCACACCUAGUGAUAUACAAAGCCAUAAAAGUAGGGCACACUUUCACACCUAGUGAUAUACAAAGCCAUAAAUGUAGGGCACGCUUUCACACAUGAAAGGUUGAUAUACGAUUUAUUAUCUAUCAUGAAACAAGAAGGUGUAUAUCAUUCGACGAAAUGAAAGAAAUUCACAAUCAUAAUACAUGAGUAUAUAAACUAAAAUCUUAAUCAUUGUUCUCAUAGAGCAGACAACGUAAGACUCCACAACAUCAACUGUUAACUCAAUUUUACGAAUCUAUACACGAUGAGACAUACUAGCCACGACAGCAAGUUAGAGAUUAUACGGCUGUAUAAAAAGUCCUACAGCAACACAGAGAUUAAGGUGUCAUUAGAGUCACAGGGUGUGUCCAUUAGCAAACAGGUUGUUAGCUAUUGGGUUCAGCAAUUUCGAAAUGGCAAGUUUGAUGCAAAUUUAUCACCGACCAAGUGGAAAAAGUUCAACAAGCUUUCAAGAGCAGAUGUACGCCUCGUUAGCAAGACAUUAGCCAAAAAACCAUGUACGACCAGCCGACAGCUUUACCGAUUUUUGAAACAGAGAGGAUCGAAGAUCAGUCUUACAACAACGAAAAGAGCAAUAUUUCAUGCUGGCUAUACCAACACAAAGCCAAGGUAUGCUCAAAUGGUUCGACAUGUUAACAAAGAGAAGAGGGUCAACUUCUGCAAGACUCUCAUUGCAGCAGACGACCAAUUUGAAGACAUCAUAUUUACGGACGAGUGUUCCGCACAGCUGCACAACAACAAAGUGACAUUUUACAGAAAAAUAACAGCUAACCGACCGUCAAUUCCUAAGCCAAAGCAUCCAUUGAAAGUACAUCUAUGGGCUGGCAUCAGCAAGAGAGGAGCUACUCCAAUUCUCAUAUUUGACGGUAUCAUGACAGGAGAGUUUUUUACGAACGCCAUCCUCAAAGAUGAAGCUCUGCCAUUUAUCAACAGAAAGUUUGCGGAUCAUCAUCGUUUCCAGAUGGACAACGACCCCAAACACCGGUCCAGGGUUUCCAAAGAUUUCAUGGCUGCAAAUGGCAUCAACUGGUGGAACGACUGGCCUUCAGGUAAGUGUGUCUCAUUAUAAACUUUUUUGAUUAGAUAAUGGUAAUUUGAUAUGAAGGGUACCGUUAAUGUUGUGACAGUUCGCUAAUUUUUCUAGUACUAGUACUAAUAAUAAAUUUUAUUAUUGAUGUUAUUUUCAUAGUUAGAUAUAAGAAGAUGUGGUAUGAGUGCUAAUGAGACAAAUC